CGGAACUAGUUUCUUUAAAUGUUAGCAAACAGCGGAGCGACCCAGGUGCGAAGUCUUCUCGCGAGAUCACCAGUUCCGUGAGCACUGGGCUGAUCUGGUCUCGCGAGAUAAUGGCCUGAGACUAGCUCCUCUGCUUCCGGUUCAAAAUCUUCCUCUUGCUCCAUUGGUUCUUCCUCCUGCAUGAUGGCUGGCUCGUGCCGGAUCGUCUCAGGCUGGACCUGCUCGUGCUGGACCUGCUCAUGCUGGAACGAUUCUUGUUGAACCGGCUCGUGCUGGACCUGCUCUUGCUGAACCGGCUCGUGCUGGACCUGCUCUUGCUGAACCGGCCGGUGCUCAAACUGUUUGUGCUGAACCGGCUCGUGUUGGAACGGCUCGUGUUGGAACGGCUCAGGCUGGAACGAUUCUUGUUGAACCGGCUCGUGCUGGACUUCCAUCUCUGGUUCUUUCAGUGUUGCAGUGGGAACCAUUUCUGAAACUGUGGCAGCUGGAGCAGUGAUGGUUUCGAUCUGUAUGACAAAGCAGAGAGGGACCCAAUGAUAAGUAAAUAAACGGAGGGACGCCUAA